CAAGACCUUCGGGGCAGGGUGAGGCGCCUGGCGCCAAUUCCCGACCGGCGGUAUAGCCCGCGAGCGGCGAGAGCCGCAGGAUCCGGUGAAACUCCGGGGCCGACGGUAUAGUCCGGAUGGGAGAAGGUAUGC
rnacentral:ncRNA from 2 species